rnacentral:rRNA from 1 species
CGCGUAGGUGGUUGUAUAAGUCAGAUGUGAAAGUCCCCGGCUCAACCGUGGAAGUGCAUUUGAAACUGUAUGACUUGAGUACUGGAGGGGGUAGUGGAAUUCCCGGUGUAGAGGUGAAAUUCGUAGAUAUCGGGAGGAAUACCGGUGGCGAAGGCGACUACCUGGCCAGAUACUGACACUGAGGUGCGGAAGCGUGGGGAGCAAACA